AAAAAUUCGCAUGUUAUACACAACAGAGGAAGAGAACCGGGGCUCUGUUUAUGGGUCUCAUCCUUGAACCUGGCCAGUGUGCAGCUCAAAAACUGAGCUCAUAAUUGUUAGGUUAGUACAUGUUCAAUGGGGUCUGAAAGUGGUACAUGGUGACACAAGCUACUUGUGGGAAGCUGAGACAGGGGGAUCAAAAGUUCAAGGCUAUCCUAGAUUAUAAAGUGAGUUCAAGGCUGGCCCCGGCAACUCAGCGAAAACCUAUCUCAGAAGAGGGUUGGUGAUAUAUUUCCGUGGCAGACUGCUUCCCUCGCAUGGGUGGCUGGAUUCAAUCCUCAAAGAAUAAGAAAGAAAGAAAAAAAGAAAGGUCCGAACGAACGCAUUGAAACUCUGUGUCCUAGAAGGUUCCAGAAUGGACAAAGCAGGAAGAAGGGUGGAAGCCUGGAUGGGUAACAGGACAGUUUGUGAGUGUCUGCCUAUAACGUGGGGGUGGGGAUCUGCAUGGGGACUCACAGGGGAGGAGUGCUAUUCCCUCCCAUGCACAGGCCUUUCUGAGAUCCCAACCCCACCCCAUCAGAGAGAUCAUCCUGGGAGCUGCAGGCAAAACCAAAGCUGAAAUAAACACUCAGGUCCAAACGGCCCAAGUUUUAGCUUGAGUGGGUCUCCUCCCAGGGUGCUUGCUUCCACACCAGGGAAACACAGAGUGGAGCAGCAGAGUGGCAGGGGGCCUCUCCGUCCUGCAUUGAUGAGAUUAGCUGAGCACAGGAGGCCAGCAGAUGUCCCCUUUCUGGACUUGGUGACUCAUGGCCUUCCCGCUGGAGUGAGGGAUCCGGCCAGCCUAAGCCUGCUUAGCUGGUGGGGAUGCAGGGCAAAGUUCAGGGUACACAUGACGGUCAAGGAGGGAGGCUGGGCUGAGGGUGAGGAUGAGGACAGCAUGUCUUGCUCUGCAGACAGCAGGCAUGGCUGUCCUAAGAGGGGAAGGGCUGCUUGGAUAGGGUCAGGAACUGUGCUAGAGAUGGGCAAAUGGGUGGCCUUUAAAGGAGGGUCGUAGUCAUCACUGGUUGGAUGCAGGCCAGAUCCUUCCAUCUUUUGGCUCUGCCAGAGGGACAGGGGAACUCUUUCUGAAAAGAGCUGAGCAGUAGAAACUUUGAAUUUUGCAACUCACUCUAUUUCUGCUGCAACUGGAGAACCUGGAACUCCAGGCUCAGGAAUGUGGACUUCACACCAGAACUGUGGGUGCCCAACACAGGGUGAUAAGCAUGGGGUGUGGUCAGACCCAGACUCUGAGAGCAUCAGUUUAGAUGUGGAGAGGCUUACAGAAUAGGAAAUCCCUCGGGGAGCCUGGGAGCUGUCAGAAACAACACCUGUGAGAUGGGAACUGUGGGAACAGCAGGUGUAAGAGCACAGAUGAGAGGAUGAAGGCCAUGCCUGGAACAGAAAGUCCAUUUGGCUGGGGCGUCUGUGGGCCCCCCUGGUUAUGCUGCAGAUGUGAGAAGUGGGACUUGGUCCUGAAGAACCUGGAACUCCAGGCUCAGGAAUGUGGACUUCACACCAGAUCUGUGGGUGCCCAACACAGGGUGAUAAGCAUGGGGUGUGGUCAGACCCAGACUCUGAGAGCAUCAGUUUAGAUGUGGAGAGGCUUGCAGAAUAGGUGGGUGGGGUAUCUUCAUCUGGGGGUUUCUCCCAUCUACUGCUCCUUCCUACUUCUGAUUGCCAUAGGUAGAAGGCACAGGGGGGGCAGUAGCUUCCAGUGGCUUCUGGAAGCCCUGCCUUUCUGAUCAGGGCAGGAUGUAGGAAAGGAUGCCCCACUCCUGCACCCCUCCCCUACUUUCCUCUGCCCUCUCCUUCCCUCCCUGAUAGCCCCUAUCUGAGACUCGCCCUCCCUCUUCCUGCUCCCGGGGCCUCUUGCCCUGGACUGUGUUGGCAAUCAGUGUUGUUGGUCUCCAUGGAGCCAGGUCCAGGAUCCCCCACUCUGGCCACACAGCCCGAAGCAGCCUCAGUUCCAACUUCAUCUUUCUGUGCACCUCUGGGGAGCCUCUACCCCUUCUCUCCUGAGUUUCCUGGACCAGACUCCAGUUCUGAUGUCACAGGGCCCAACUGUGCCUGGCAGCUGCCUUUACCCUUGCUGGUCAUUAUCAAAGACACACAUACAGGUGCUAACUGCUGUUAUUCACUGUUGCUACUGAAUGACUAAGAACACAAUGGAUGGAUAGAUGAAGAAGACCAUGUGAUUGGUUGCCUGGGAUGGGGUGUGGGAGGAUGCUGAAGGUCUGUUAUGUGCUUGGCUGAAACAGCUAAUUCACCAGGUAACAUAAGUUAGUCACUCACUUAUUGGCUGCACUAUUUAGGAAACUUCUCCCCUUUCUCUCUUUCAACUUCAACGUUCUACAAGAGGGGAUGCCAGCAAGCUCCCCACCUCAGAGUGCCACAUGCAUUGAAUGGCAAUAUUCUAUGGCAGGGUUUGUCCUCCAUCAAGCCCAACUCUUAAUUAUGACAAAAUGAGUACCCUGUUGGUGUGUAUGGCAGAUUCUGACCUUCAUAGCUGUCUCUAUGGCUCCCCACUUGGUGGAAGAGGAGCCAGAGGCUCAGAGAGGUGGAGCACUGUGCCUCAGGUCACACAGCAGCUGAGCCCAGGGAUUGACAGAGUGGAGAUAGAGAUCUGAGUGUGACCACUGACCUCUUCUGCUGACCAAAGCCUUGGGCCUUGAGCUUCAAGUCCCUCGGCCACUCCCUGGGCCCCUUCCCACGCUCCCUGGCCUUCCCUUCCUGUUCCACUGGGCUCCUGGUGUCCUGAGUCUGGAAAGUUCCAGAAGCCUGGGAGAGAUAAGGAGUUUCUUGCUUGCCCAGGCUAUGGGCAGUGCCUGACUGUGGCCCCUUUGAUCAGAGGUCUCUUAGUGUUGCCAGUCAGCUGCUUGGCAAGGCAGAUAUCUGUGAUGGGGACAGCCUGGGAGAGCCACCUGGAUGGCCACCUCCCCUUGCCUUUACAGCAGUGCCUGUCCCUGCAGACAGGAAGCUGUGUCCUGCACUGGUGGUGGGACCAGCUGCCUUGACAGCCAGCCA
rnacentral:lncRNA from 1 species